rnacentral:lncRNA from 10 species
GGAAAUUUGAACAUAGACACAUACAUAGAUAGGGAAGGAAAUGCGAAGACACACAGAAAGAUGACCAUCUUACAAGCCAACAAGAGAGGUCUUAAGCAGAUCCUCUCACAAUCUCAGAAGGCACCAACACUGCCAACAUUUCACUCUCUGACUUCCAGCCUCCAGAAGUAGAUCAGGAUAGAAUUGCUGUUUGACAUCUCUCCCAACUUCCUUAUGCUCUCCGGAGCAGAACACUUCACAGCAGUUAUCAAUCCCAGGGGGAGGAUCCAAACACUUCUUCCUAUUGCAUCUUGGAACUGGAGUCACUAAGAAAAAUGCAACAUGGUCAAGCACUGGGUAGAACAACACACUUUACUUACAGAGAGAAGAAACAGAACAAGAUAAGCUUAAUAGAGUGCUGUGAUCCCUUAUGGCUAGCACGUCACCCAGGCAGGUCACCCAGGCAGGUGGCUGAGAAUGGGCAAUUGGCCUACACGCACCCCUGUCGGGCUGAAGCAGAAGAACCCAACCCCUCCUCCAUGGAGUCUGAAAUAGUAAAAACUGGAAAGGCCUGCAGAUACAAUAGAAAAGCCUUCACACAAAUCUGCUGGAGAAGUAGAUCCGGGUGAAACAGCAGGAAAACUGUCGUAAAAAUGCAUAUCUCAGAUCUCCUACUAGUAGGGUCAUAAGCAACCCAUGACUCCAGCUGCUGAGGUCUAAAUCUGUCACUACUUAUGCUCGGAGACUAUUUCCUGUGGAGGAAGUAUUCUUAACCAAUUACUGCAUUUGGCUGUGAUAUGAAAGUUGGCUCAGUCCUGUAAGUUUCCAGAUUCUUCUAAGAGUGAACUGCAUUGUAAUCUGAGAAUUUAUGUUUUCCCUUCCUUUCAUUCUUCUCUUUCAAAGGGUUUAGUACUACAUUGUAGUUCGAUGGUUUUCCAGCCUCCUCUGGUUUCUCAAUACACAAAAGUUCUUCCAGUAAAUCUUUUACAUACAU